rnacentral:rRNA from 1 species
UACGAAGGGGGCUAGCGUUGCUCGGAAUCAUUGGGCGUAAAGCGCACGUAGGCGGUCCUGUAAGUCGGGUGUGAAAGCCCUCGGCUCAACCGAGGAAGUGCAUUCGAAACUGCUGAACUUGAGUAUGGAAGAGGGUCGCGGAAUUCCCGGUGUAGAGGUGAAAUUCGUAGAUAUCGGGAGGAACACCAGUGGCGAAGGCGGCGACCUGGGCCAAUACUGACGCUGAGGUGCGAAAGCGUGGGGAGCAAACAGG